CCCUCUUUUCCCCUUCUUCUUCUUUCUUCUUCUUCCCUCUUCUUCUUCCUCGUUCCUUCUUUCUCUGCCUCUAUAGUUCACGCGCAGAAGAUGAUGACGCGCGCAAAGGACGGCCUACGGCCGAGGGGAGUAGGCCGACGUUGGCCGGAGAGGAUAAGAUCUCGGGCGCCAUCAAUGCCGAGCACGCUUCGCUGGAUAAGCUCGGAUGGGACGCCGGUCCAGCCAAGGAGAACCGCUCGGCGCGCGAAGGGGACCGCCGGUCGAAGCUCCGUCGACCGGACCUCCUCGCCUAUAAAUAGAGGAGCACCUUCGUCGACAAACAGCAUCGCAAGCUUGGAGAUCUUCCCACUGAGAGACUUCGGGGGAGGAAUCGACGAGCGAGCGAGAGAGA
rnacentral:lncRNA from 1 species